GAUGAACGCUGGCGGCGUGCUUAACACAUGCAAGUCGAACGAUGAAGCCCAGCUUGCUGGGUGGAUUAGUGGCGAACGGGUGAGUAACACGUGAGUAACCUGCCCUUAACUCUGGGAUAAGCCUGGGAAACUGGGUCUAAUACCGGAUAGGAGCGCCUACCGCAUGGUGGGUGUUGGAAAGAUUUUUCGGUUUUGGAUGGACUCGCGGCCUAUCAGCUUGUUGGUGAGGUAAUGGCUCACCAAGGCGACGACGGGUAGCCGGCCUGAGAGGGUGACCGGCCACACUGGGACUGAGACACGGCCCAGACUCCUACGGGAGGCAGCAGUGGGGAAUAUUGCACAAUGGGCGAAAGCCUGAUGCAGCGACGCCGCGUGAGGGAUGACGGCCUUCGGGUUGUAAACCUCUUUCAGUAGGGAAGAAGCGAAAGUGACGGUACCUGCAGAAGAAGCACCGGCUAACUACGUG
rnacentral:rRNA from 1 species